UCCAGACUCCUACGGGAGGCAGCAGUGGGGGAUAUUGCACAAUGGGGGAAACCCUGAUGCAGCGACGCCGCGUGUGGGAAGACGGUCCUCUGGAUUGUAAACCACUGUCCCCAGGGACGAAGAUGACGGUACCUGGGGAGGAAGCCCCGGCUAACUACGUGCCAGCAGCCGCGGUAAUACGUAGGGGGCAAGCGUUGUCCGGAUUUACUGGGUGUAAAGGGAGCGUAGACGGCAAUACAAGUCGGAAGUGAAAUACCCGGGCUCAACCUGGGAACUGCUUUGGAAACUGUAUGGCUGGAGUGCUGGAGAGGUAAGCGGAAUUCCUAGUGUAGCGGUGAAAUGCGUAGAUAUUAGGAGGAACACCAGUGGCGAAGGCGGCUUACUGGACAGUAACUGACGUUGAGGCUCGAAAGCGUGGGGAGCAAACAGGAUUAGAUACCCCGGUAC
rnacentral:rRNA from 1 species